CCCUCCCCCUGCUCAGACACUCUCUGUCUCCCUCUCAGAAUAAAUAAACUUAAAAACGUAUGUCAAAAAAAUAAUAAAUUUAGAAUAACACCGAACUCCGUAACACAGCCUAGAAAUCCCAGUCAGCUCUAAUCCUCGCUUACUUAGUGUCUUUCUACACAAAACUUAUCCAAACUCCCAGUACCACGACCAUAUUAGACUAAUUUCAGGAACUCAUCCACAAUUUCACCACAUUGUCUGACAGACAUUUUCCCUAUAUCUGGAAUUCUCUUUUCUCUAUUCUCUAUCAAGUGAACUCUCAACCACUCUCCAUAAAAAGCUGAAUUCUUAAGGAUCUUCUCUGAGCUCCAUGACGAGGUCAAAUAUCCCAACAUUAUAUACCCCUUCCCAGAACUUAUCACAUUUUUGGUCUUACCUAUAUCAGUAUUUGAGUGAAUAUUUGAUUAAUGUUCUCCACCCUCACUUGACUAUAAACUACAUAAUAACUGGUUUUAUAUUUCCAGUGUCUUUUAAAAUGUCUCGCACAUAAAUGCUCAAAAAACUACUUACGGCGUUGUUUUCCCUAAAUGAUCACAAAAGUAAAAUGCUGAUAUGAGGCUGGAAAGAUAGGCUGCAAAAAAGACCAGAGGCUCAGACAACAGAGGCCUCAUUGCCUAUCCCAUUUGGACAUAUACCCAGGAGUUCUUGGAUGAUAGUCUUCAGGAAAUAGAAGCUACCAGCAUCCACAUGCCUAGGCAAAGGGAGAAGUCCGUGAUGGAUGAAGAGAACAAAACUCGGGCUUGAGCGACCAGGUGGACUCACUGUGCGGCAGACGGAAUCCAUAAUCUCACUCAUCAUUUGACCUACUUAUGCUGUUACUCCGAUCAGUAUAAAACACUGAGGGCUUGGGUCUCCUGAAAUCAGUGUCCAUUCUGAGCCACUGCCCAGCAACUCCUCAAAAGUUCGAUUAUUUCUCUUUCCUCAAUGUAUAGUCACCCAGGUAAAUGGUCAUAGAUCUCUUCGGGGAAGAGUGGGGGAAAAAGAUGAACUAUAUAAUUUCUUUUUGUUUGUUUAGUAGAGUUCUUUCUCAAAGGCUUUCUCCCCACUCUAAAUUACAGAGAUUCUGGGUCUGUAAAAUGGCUCAGGUCUGGGAAUUCAUGGAGGGAGCAUGAUCUCCUAUUUUUAGAAUUAGGUUAGCCUCCUAAGAAAGGGCUACAUUUACUGGCAAAAAAAGACUCAAUAGAAUUUCGGGUUCCAUGUCCCUAGCUUGAGUGGAAUCUUCCCGUAUGUCCCCAUUCCAGUGUUCAAGAUCUCAGUCCUUCUCGACCGUGCCCUCACUUUAACAGAAGACAUCUUGCAGUGCUGAGAAUCCAGAACAUCCAUCUCUUCAUAAACUCACAAUGCUGUUAGCAGUGGUUUCAUCUUUAGGCCAAUUUCCUUGGAAAAUUUCCAGCUAUGUCUAGGAACUUUCCUACCUUGUCCCCGUCAUUGUAUCAGAUGACAAAAACAAGCAGUGCAGACUCUCUCCAGCAGAGGGAGCCAUUAAACAAAGGUGUUCUUAGGGAGAGGCUAAAAAAAGUCCCGUUUUCUCUAUGGUCUUCUGAGACAUUGAGAGCAGCUAUUAACAUCAAUAACGGACUUACUACAGCUUAGUGAUAAGAAAGGAAAAAGAAAAAAAAAAUUAGUAGACACCAUA